UAGAGCUUCAAGAGGAGAAUUGAAGGGAGAUUGGAGGAAGAGAGAAUCCAUAUAAUGUUAUUGUAGAUAAAAAUACUGGGGAAGUGCGUUUGGGUAUUGAAAAAUACGGACUAAGCAUAAGAGGAAAAAUCAAGCGACGCAGAGGCGUAUAUGAAUCGCGAGAGAAAUAUGUCAUUUUCAACAAGACCUGCGGUAAGCAUGAAGGCCUAUAUUUGGCAAAGAUGGUUCUUAUUUGAGCAAUGGUGGAGGCAAGCUCCAAUGGGAUUAGGACCCAAGAGCGGCGGAGGCAAACAAACUCCAAUGUAGUACUCAUUUGCCAUGUCAUUGCCGGCAGCAAGAUUAAAUGGCCGAAAAUGAGGUGAGAGAUCAAUUAGAUGCAUUUUUUACAAUUUCAGGAACGUAAAUAGUGCAAUUGGUAAGUCAAAGACUAAAUCAUUGCAAUUCGUAAAUCUCAGGGACCACUUUGAGAUUUGACUCGAUGUAUGACCUAUCAGCUAUGAGCCUAUGAUUAAAAGAAAAGAAAUAUUUCAUAAAAAAAAAUAAUGAGAGAAUAGUGGAGAUACAUUUCAUAGAAGAAAAGCAAAAAGAGCUUGGAAGAUAGACUUUGGACUCUGCCACUUUACUGAAGGACUAUCUCUUUCUAUU